rnacentral:rRNA from 1 species
AGUGUAGGCGGCUACGUAAGUCGGAUGUGAAAGCCCUGGGCUCAACCUGGGAAUUGCAUUCGAUACUGCGUAGCUAGAGUUUGAUAGAGGUAAGUGGAAUUCCGGGUGUAGCGGUGAAAUGCGUAGAUAUCCGGAGGAACAUCAGUGGCGAAGGCGGCUUACUGGAUCAAAACUGACGCUGAGGCUCGAAAGCGUGGGGAGCAAACAGGAUUAGAUACCCUGGUAGUCC